AGUGAACGCUGGCGGCGUGCUUAACACAUGCAAGUCGAACGAGAACGGGUUAUAGCUUGCUAUAAUUGUCAGCUAAGUGGCGCACGGGUGAGUAAUGUAUAGGUAAUAUGCCUCUUACUAAGGGAUAACAAAUGGAAACGUUUGCUAAUACCUUAUACUCCUUAUUAACAUAAGCUAAUAAGGGAAAGAUUUAUUGGUAAGAGAUUAGCCUGUAUUGUAUCAGUUAGUUGGUGGGGUAAUGGCUUACCAAGACUAUGACACAUAACUGGUUUGAGAGGAUGAUCAGUCACACUGGAACUGAGACACGGUCCAGACUCCCACGGGAGGCAGCAGUGGGGAAUAUUGCACAAUGGACGAAAGUCUGAUGCAGCAACGCCGCGUGGAGGAUGACACAUUUCGGUGCGUAAACCCCUUUUAUAUGAGAAGAUAAUGACGGUAUUAUAUGAAUAAGCACCGGCUAACUCCGUGCCAGCCGCCGCCGUAA
rnacentral:rRNA from 1 species